CUUCCUCAGAACACAAAGUCUCUGUUCAUAUGAACCUGGUUACAAAAAGAUCAAAUAUGGCAAUUCAUUUCCUGUUCUCAACUUCAUACUAAGCCCUUGAAGCGCUUCAAAGAAUAUUCACUCUUAAGUAUAAGGUGGAUGCUCGUUACUUUGAAGUGUUUUGAGAAGAGGUCAUGUGAUUUGAAUGUUCUACUUGAUCAGAGGAGUUGUUCUCCUCAUUCCAGGUGGGAAAUUCGGUGGAACGCAGCUGUCCGCUCGCCGAGGGUUCAAACCCCCGGUGAGUUAUAAUCAAGCAAAUCCCUAACGGGAUUUUCGCUUCGUGAGAAGGUUGUUUCUAAUGGAACUUCAGCUUGAGCCCUAUUGUCGUUGUUAUAAUAAAUCAAGUCGCCAGUUCUUCUCUAAUGGAGACCACGUGACAUGGGAGGGACAACGGACGGACAGUUUAGCUUGUCAUUUACGACAAUGCCUAGUUGAGUGCAAUGCAGGGAGUCUGCAACUUACGCAGAUAACACAAUACCGAUUACCUUGUGUCUGAGGAGCA